GAUGAAGAACGUAGCGAAAUGCGAUACUUGGUGUGAAUUGCAGAAUCCCGUGAACCAUCGAGUCUUUGAACGCAAGUUGCGCCUCAAGCCAUUAGGUUGAGGGCACGUCUGCCUGGGCGUCACAUAUCGUUGCCUGAUGCCAGUUUCCUCGUGAUGGGUGACUGUGCAGGGCGAAUGAUGGCUUCCCGUGAGCAUUGUUGCCUCAUGGUUGGUUGAAAAUUGAGUCCUUGGUAGGGAGCGCCGUGAUAGAUGGUGGUUGAGUGACGAACGAGACCCAAUCAUGUGAGACCCCUACCGAAUUUGGCCUUCAUGACCCACAUGCGUCUUUGGAACGCUCAUGACGCGACCUCAGGUCAGGCGGGGCUACCCGCUGAGUUUAAGCAUAUCAAUAAGCGGAGGA
rnacentral:misc_RNA from 1 species